rnacentral:rRNA from 1 species
GACGAACGCUGGCGGCGUGCUUAACACAUGCAAGUCGAACGGAAAGGCCCUGCUUUUGUGGGGUGCUCGAGUGGCGAACGGGUGAGUAACACGUGAGUAACCUGCCCUUGACUUUGGGAUAACUUCAGGAAACUGGGGCUAAUACCGGAUAGGAGCUCCUGCUGCAUGGUGGGGGUUGGAAAGUUUCGGCGGUUGGGGAUGGACUCGCGGCUUAUCAGCUUGUUGGUGGGGUAGUGGCUUACCAAGGCUUUGGAGGGUAGCCGGCCUGAGAGGGGGAACGGCCACAAUGGGACUGAGGGAGGGCGCAGACUCCAACGUGAGGCAGUAGUGGGGAAUAUUGCACAAUGGGCCGAAGCCUGAUGCAGCAACGCCGGGGUCGGGAUGACGUCCUUCGGGUUGAAAAACGCUUUCGCCUGUUACGAAGCGGGAGUGACGGUAAUGGGUAAAUAAGCACCGGCUAACUACGUG